rnacentral:tRNA from 1 species
GCACCCCGUAGCUCAGAUGGUAGAGCACCCGAAGUUCCGACCGAACGGUCGCGGGUUCGAUCCCCGGUGCGGACG